GACGUAGGGCGCGGGCGUUGUCCGGAUUUAUUGGGCGUAAAGAGCUCGUAGGCGGCUUGUCGCGUCGACUGUGAAAACCCGCGGCUCAACUGCGGGCCUGCAGCCGAUACGGGCAGGCUAGAGUUCGGUAGGGAGACUGGAAUUCCGGGUGGUAGCGGUGGAAUGCGUAGAGGAUCCGGAAGAACACCGGUGGCGAAGGCGGCCCGACUGG
rnacentral:rRNA from 1 species